rnacentral:lncRNA from 1 species
UCUCCGCGCGCUUCUUUAUCGCGUCUCGCUCCAUCAGGGAAGCGACUGCAGAACCAAGCAAAGGCGGUCAUCCGAGGGGCCGGCGAGGCCAGGAACGCGUCGCCGCGUGUCCGUGACCAGGGCACCGCGCCACGGAUGCCAGAUCCCAGGCUGGAGAGAGCGGGUUGCCCCAGAUCCGCGGGCAGAGGCGCAGAGCCGAAGCCCGGAGGAGAGGAGUUUGAGAGCCGCCAUCUUCGGGCGGUGAGGCAGGAGGAGGAUCUCCCGCCAAGCUUGUUGCUUUUCCAAGUUAGUGCCUGGCGUGUGUGUGGGCUGCAUAGGGGCACCCCUCGAGGCCCCCUUCUCUUCUCCCGCCUGGACUGCGUUCACGUUUCUAACAUUUCUCAGCCCCUUCUCCCCACAUCUGGCCUUGGCUUACAUAGAGUAAGUUUGCUGUGAGCACUUGCCUCG